rnacentral:rRNA from 1 species
AACGAACGCUGGCGGCGUGGAUAAGACAUGCAAGUCGAGCGGGAACUUUCGCUGUAGCAAUACAGUGAAAGUUCUAGCGGCGAACGGGUGCGUAACACGUGGACAAUCUGCCUUAAAGUGGGGGAUAGCUCGGCGAAAGCCGAAUUAAUACCGCAUGUGAUGAGAGACGACAUCGUCUUGAAAUACAAAGCCGGGGCAACCUGGCGUCUUUUGAGGAGUCCGCGGCCUAUCAGCUAGUUGGUGAGGUAACGGCCCACCAAGGCUAUGACGGGUAGCUGGUCUGAGAGGACGACCAGUCACACUGGAACUGAGACA